rnacentral:lncRNA from 1 species
AAAAUUUCAUUUUCUGUUUGUCUUUCAGUUAGCAAUUGACUAUGGGAUUAAAUUUUUGGAGACAAGUGCAAAGUCGAGUACAAAUGUAGAAGAGGCAUUUUUUACACUUGCACGGGAUAUAAUGACAAAACUCAACAGGAAAAUGAACGACAGCAAUUCAUCAGGAGCAGGUGGGCCAGUGAAGAUAACAGAGAGCCGGUCUAAGAAGACCAGUUUCUUCCGCUGUUCUCUGCUUUGAUGAACUCCUCAUUUCUGAGAGACUGCAGAAUACCUAGAGGGCCUUUCCCUGCCUCUCUGAAAGCACAGGCUACCCAGCCUCAGAGUCACUUCGCCCGGCUGCUGCGGAGAGCACCCCCGGAACUCACACAGACCACCAAGUGGAUUCCAGCCUUGUGGCCUAGCAAAAGAGCGGACUCCUUUCUUUAAAAAGCAGAAGCAGUGAUGUGGAGACACACAUAGGACCUAACUGGUUUUUCCUUGUUUUACUGCCUGUCCUGGAAGCUGCUGUCUUUCUUUGCACAUGCGUGUCAGCCUUUCCCUGGUACAGCGUAAUCUUAGACUCUUAACUGAGCACUUUAGUGGCAUAAAGUUCUACACUUGUAUAUUUGGGGAUGCUUAAAGACAGCAGAGCAUUAAACAGAGGUUGACCUGCUACAAUUAAAGGAUGGUUAGCCUGGGUCACAUGGCCAAAAAUUCUUCUGUUGGUAGAUUUAUUGAAGGGCUUUGAUUUAUAGUAUUCCUAAUUUGAUAAAUGUUCAAAAUUUAUAAAAAUGCCCAUCUAGCCAGAGGCCAUGGCAUUGCUGUCUUUUCAGGGAGCAAUCAGCCAUGCUCAUCCCUGAGUAGCUGUGUCCCCUUUGAAGUUGCCUGUCCUGCCUCCUCCAUGGACUCAGCCUCUGGAAAGCACUGCAGCCUCACUGUUCAAGGGUUCUGUUUGCUGUCCCUUCUCCUGUGUGACUUGCUGGCGUUAUUUACUUAUCUAAAACCCAUAGUAUGUGAGCAUUGCUGUCUGCCUGUGCACUUCAUGAGCAGCGAUCUCACAUAGGUAGCGACGUGGUCAUCACAGCUGUCUGUCCACAUCCACCUAUGGUCUUGUCACAUUAGAGUAUGCAGUACAUUUUUUCUGCGUUUCACCCACUAGCUUAUAUCACCCAGUUCUUAACCAGAAUCCCCAUCUGCGAGAGUUAACAAAGGUUAGAUUUAGAUUUUAGUUUGCAGAAAACAUACGUAACAUAUACAGAGAGAGAUUAAACAUAUAAUUUUAAAAGACAGCUAUUCGUAAGGCUGAAAGAAAUGACUCUUUGGGUUUUUGUUUGUUUGCUUGUUUUGUUUUUAAGUAAUUAGACCUAGCACAUCCUCCAGAAAUCUUGUCUUUUCAUUAGAGCACAUAUGAUUCAGGUUUCAGCUUUCAAAUAGCCAUUGCUGGGUAUCUAAGACCUAGCCCUGUUUGCUUAGGUUUGUCAUUAGAGAAGUGGUGUGGCCAUCCAGGCCAAAACACACCAUAGGCGUCACUGCCUUUCUCACCAAAUGCUGAUUCUGAUGUUUCUUCUGUGGGUGAAGCCACUGCACUGGGGACGGGGAGGGUGUUCAGUGUUAACUUUUGUGCCAACUAUAGAUCAUAAUGUCAUUGCUAUCCUAACACAGAGAACAUAAAAACAGGUGACAGUGGCAGGCACUUGUACCUUAAGAUGGAUGUGGAUAGCUGGUUAUACAGACAAUUCUGCCUCAGAUUAAGAUCUCUGGUUUCAGUGUUUGGACCAGUCAGGCCUUCCCAUCUGUUGGGAAGCUCAGAAACAUUCCAGUGGCUGCAAGUAUCCCAAAGUUAUUUUUGGUGGAUAUGCUGACUCUACUGUUGACAAACUUCAGCCGUUUCUUCUUUUUCUUUAGUUACCUAUUGGCUUAAAAUCACACAUUGCUACCCCCGUGCAAGCAGUUUACUCAUUGAGAACUUAUUACAAGUCUAACAUUGUGAAAUUAAAUACAUAUUUGAAAAGAACAAGUAUUUUCUUAGAAAUGUCUUAUCACUACUUUUCUGGAAAAAAAGUUCAAGCAGUUACAUUGGUCACAAAGUACUUUGCAAAAAGCACAGGCCGUGACACCACAUACGAAUGUAAUUCUCUUAGUAUUUACCUCUGACUGUUUGGUGUCUUAGCACUUCGGUUUCUAUCUCAGGGGUUGUCUGCAAACCAAAACUGACAUGUUCUGUGGUCAGCUUUUUCUUUUCUUUUCUUUUCUUCUUUUUUGUUUUUGUUUUUUUUUUUAAACAAACAAAACCAGAAUGCUUUGCUUUUGAUAUCUCCACCCUUCUCGUGUCUUUUGUGGGUUAAUAACUAGUCUCCAUGAACUUCUCUUUGAAAGAGCCUAUAAAUGUUAGGUGAGUCUGAAAGUGCUCUUUGAAGCAGCAGCAAUCGGGGAGUAUAUCCUUGUUAUAUAGAAAUACAUUGUCCUUGCUAUUUUCUUACAUUUAACUUUGC